GGAAGAACAAAACAGAAAGCCUUCAAGCUGAUGAACGCUAUCUUUUGUUCUGGUUCAUUUUUCAACAGAGGCAAAAAAGCACUUGGUGCAACAGGACUCUAAGUCAUAAAAACUGUAGCUAACCAAGGUCAAUCUGGGCUACACAACCUGCCUCUAGGUGGGAGUAGACCCUCGUACCCACAUGUAAAGGAGCCUGGGCCAAUGCAGCUUUGAAAUACCACUGCAGGGUUGGAGAAAGCCUCUGCUGCCUCCUUGUGAAAAACAAGCUGUUCCUGAGGAUGCAUGGAGAAGCUCCUUCUGUUGUCACUUAUGCUCCCUCUGAAUACUCUCCAGUGGCUGAAGAAGAACUCGAGAGGCCAUGCAAGACAAAACUUAUGUAAGGACUCUGCUUCCGGGAGCCAAAGCUGACUGAUAAAUGUGCAGAAUUUGACUGAGGCCAGACAAUUUGCUACUUCAUGUCACAUUUUAGAA